CUCUUUCUGAAGUUAUUUUUCCUCCAGAGAGGGAGAAUAGAAGCCCCAAACUUGAUUCAGAAAGGUCCAGGAUAUUCAAGCCUUCAAAGGUCAUUCAGACACAAACUAAGACAGACCAUCUCGCAAGCAUAUGGGGAUUGAGUUCGAAAUCAAAUCUAGGUAGUACAAAUACCCAGAAGAAUUUUCUUUCCAUUUUCUAUUUUGCACCAUCACUCAUAUAUUGUACUAUUGAGUUAUCUAAAGAAAUAAAGCAUGUUUAUGUUAUCUAGGUAUAUUCAACAAACUUUAUUCUGCUCCCAAGCGUUCAUCCAUCAGUUCCAGCCUCCAUCUAAACUUGGGAUGUGUGGAUCUGUAAAUAUGUCAGUGCAUCUUUCUGCAUCUUGUUCCUAGCAAUGGCUGAUGGCAAUACCUCAACGAAAGGCCAAAACUGAACCCAGAAUGUCCUUUAACAUAAAUAAUCUCUUUCUUCACUGUUCCCCUGGCCCCACCCUCCUGAAUACCUUUAAGAAGAGUCAUCAUAACCUCUUUUAAUCUUUAGCUGGUGAAACAGGACAAACUCCCUUAAUCUCUUCAUAUGUGAGCCAUUGCAUUCCUGUAAUGUAUUGGUACCCUUCUUUAUACUUGUAAGAGUAACUUUGUCCUUAAAUACAGGUACCAGAACUAAAUGAAAUACUUGCACAGGUUUUUACCUUUCAACACCGAUACCAUUAUUUUUGUUUUUAGUAAAAUCUCCUCUACUAAUGUAUUCCCACCACUCCUCAGGUUAAAAAAAAAAUAAAUUGCUAGAUUCUUCCCCUCCCUGUGGCACUUAAUGGAUUAAAUUGUUCAGUACUGUAACUUUCCCUUUUUCAGGGUUUGGUGGAUCUUGGGAAGAGUACGGCUGUGGCAACUUCAGUUCAAUGAAGCCAGAGGACGCUACACUGUUGAUGAAAUAUUACUUCUUUUCUUCUUGGCAUCUCUCCAGUCAUUUUCAUCAUGACUUGUACUCAAAGCAGGGAUGUCUCUGUGCCUGGAUGAGACUGGACAUUCAAGAACUGAUCUCUGAGAGUCAUCCAGGAGCACAGAUUUCAAGAAAAGCCACCAUUGCGCUUGCUGAAAGCACUGAAUACAUUCCCGUUGUUUUCCACCACAUUCCUGUGAAAGAGGCAAAUGGAUAG
rnacentral:lncRNA from 1 species